rnacentral:misc_RNA from 1 species
AAGUCGUAACAAGGUAUCUGUAGGUGAACCUGCAGAUGGAUCAUUUCGAUGAAAACCUUUUUUCUGAGGUGUGGCUCGCACCUGUCUAACUAAAAUUGAGCUACCAUUUUAAACACGGUUGCAUCGGUUGGGGUCCCGUCAAGUAGCGCAAGCUACGCGAAGAGGCCUCGACACUUUACACAAACACUUUUGAUGAUCUAGGAUUUGAAUGAAAGUUCAUUUUUGUGAUGGAACCGACUGGUAAUGCGGUCGUCUAAAUCUAUAGAAACAA